rnacentral:ncRNA from 2 species
GGUACAGUAUAGCGAGUCGGUUCUGGUAGGGGUCAGCUACCAGAGGUAACGGGGAAAGUUCGGUGAAAAUCCGGCGCUGUCCCGCAACUGUAAGGAGAUGCAAGUCUCUAAGUCAGGAUGCCCGCCGCCUACAACGUAGCUUU